rnacentral:rRNA from 1 species
AAUCAACGCUGGCGGCGUGCCUAACACAUGCAAGUCGCACGAGAAAGGGUAGCAAUACCUGAGUAAAGUGGCGCACGGGUGAGUAACACGUGACUAAUCUACCCUCGAGUGGGGAAUAACUGAGAGAAAUCUUAGCUAAUACCGCAUAACACUUACGAGUCAAAGCAGCAAUGCGCUUGGGGAGGAGGUCGCGGCAGAUUAGCUAGUUGGUGGGGUAAUGGCCCACCAAGGCAAUGAUCUGCAUCCGGCCUGAGAGGGCGCACGGACACACUGGAACUGAAACACGGUCCAGACUCCUACGGGAGGCAGCAGUGGGGAAUUUUGCGCAAUGGGGGAAACCCUGACGCAGCAACGCCGCGUGGAGGAUGAAAUCCCUUGGGAUGUAAACUCCUUUCGAUAGGGAAGAUAAUGACGGUACCUAUAGAAGAACGCCCGGCUAACUUCGUGCC